rnacentral:hammerhead_ribozyme from 1 species
AUCCAGUUGGCGAGUCCCAAAUAGGACGAAAUGCGCGUCCUGGAU